rnacentral:misc_RNA from 1 species
UCUUACUCUACUGGUAUAUCAUCAUUGGUGCCUUUAUAUUAAACAUGAUCAGCGAUUGUCUCGUAUAAUGAAAGGUUCUUCUCACUGAUGAUAAUUUAUUAGUCAGAUGAAUGUAGAAAUGGGAAUUUCAACAUUCUUGAGAACUUUAUUGGUUUCAUUGAUUCAAAAUAGUGGUAUUAAUAUGCUACCUCUCUUUGAGCAUGGCUCUGCAAAG